UCAAGCUACAAAGGGCGCAUGGUGAAUGCCUUGGUAUCAGGAGCCGAUGAAGGACGUGAUAAGCUGCGAUAAGCUUCGGGUAGGCGCACAUAGCCUGAGAUCCGAAGAUCUCCGAAUGAGGAAACUCACAUGGGAAACCCCAUGUAUCAUUAAGUGAAUACAUAGCUUAAUGAAGGUAACCCAGGGAACUGAAACAUCUAAGUACCUGGAGGAAGAGAAAGAAAAAUCGAUUUUCUUAGUAGCGGCGAGCGAAAGGGAAAAAGCCCAAACCGGAAACUUGUUUCCGGGGUUGUGGACAGAACAUAACGAUUGGUAGGACGUAAUCGAAGAGAACUGGAAAGUUCCACCGUAGAAGGUAAUAGUCCUGUAGAUGAAACGGGAAAUCAAUCAGUUCUGAUCCAGAGUACCACGAGACACGUGAAACCUUGUGGGAAGCAGGGAGGACCACCUCCCAAGGCUAAAUACUACCUGAUGACCGAUAGUGAAGCAGUACCGUGAGGGAAAGGUGAAAAGAACCCCGGGAGGGGAGUGAAAUAGAACCUGAAACCGUGUGCCUACAACCGCUCAGAGCCCCUUAUGAGGGUGAUGAGGUGCUUUUUGUAGAACGAGCCAACGAGUUACGGUAUGUAGCAAGGUUAAGUACUUAAGGUACGGAGCCGAAGGGAAACCGAGUCUGAAUAGGGCGACUAGUUGCAUGCCGUAGACCCGAAACCGGGUGACCUAUCCAUGGCCAGGUUGAAGCGAGGGUAAAACCUCGUGGAGGACCGAACCACGUUGCUGUUGAAAAAGCAUGGGAUGAGCUGUGGAUAGCGGAGAAAUUCCAAUCGAACCCGGAGAUAGCUGGUUCUCUCCGAAAUAGCUUUAGGGCUAGCGUCGAGUAUGAGUAGUGGAGGUAGAGCACUGAAUGGGCUAGGGGGCAUAGCGCUUACCGAACCUUAUCAAACUCCGAAUGCCACAUACUUUGAGCUCGGCAGUCAGACUACGAAUGAUAAGAUCCGUGGUCAAAAGGGAAACAGCCCCAGAUCGUCAGCUAAGGUCCCAAAGUGUAAGUUAAGUGGGAAAGGAUGUGAGAUUUCUAAGACAACUAGGAUGUUGGCUUAGAAGCAGCCAUUCAUUAAAAGAGUGCGUAAUAGCUCACUAGUCGAGAGAUCUUGCGCCGAAAAUGUAACGGGGCUAAACUUACCACCGAAGCUACGGGCUUGAACUUAGUUCAAGCGGUAGGAGAGCGUCGUAACCGGGCUGAAGUCGUACCGUAAGGAGCGGUGGACUGGUUACGAGUGAGAAUGUUGGCAUCAGUAGCGAGAUGUGGGUGAGAAUCCCACAGGCCGAAAACCUAAGGUUUCCUCAGGAAGGUUCGUCCGCUGAGGGUUAGUCGGGACCUAAGCCGAGGCCGAAAGGCGUAGGUUGAUGGACAAACUGGUUGAUAUUCCCAGUACCAUACCAUCGUUAUUAUCGAUGGGCGUGACGCAGGAGGAUAGUUGUGCUAGCAUUGGAUGCUAGUCUAAGCGUUUAGGCAGUGAGAGUAGGCAAAUCCGCUCUCAUAAUGCUGAGGCGUGGAUGGGGAAGGUUCUACGGAACCGAAGUACAUGAUUCCACGCUGCCAAGAAAAGCGUCUAGAGAGAGAAGUAGUGCCCGUACCGCAAACCGACACAGGUAGGUGAGGAGAGAAUCCUAAGGCCGGCGGAAGAAUUACAGUUAAGGAACUCGGCAAAUUGACCCCGUAAGUUCGCGAGAAGGGGUGCCUACGAGAGUAGGCCGCAGAGAAUAGGCCCAAGCAACUGUUUAGCAAAAACACAGGUCUCUGCUAAAGCGUAAGCUGAUGUAUAGGGGCUGACGCCUGCCCGGUGCUGGAAGGUUAAGGGGAACACUUAGCGCAAGCGAAGGUGUGAACUUAAGCCCCAGUAAACGGCGGCCGUAACUAUAACGGUCCUAAGGUAGCGAAAUUCCUUGUCAGGUAAGUUCUGACCCGCACGAAUGGCGUAAUGACUUGGGCACUGUCUCAACUGUAAAUCCGGCGAAGUUGUAGUGCGAGUGAAGAUGCUCGCUACCCGCGAUUGGACGGAAAGACCCGUAGAGCUUUACUGUAGCUUAGCAUUGAGUUUUGGUAUUGUCUGUACAGGAUAGGUGGGAGACUAGGAAACCAGGGCGUCAGCCUUGGUGGAGUC
rnacentral:rRNA from 1 species